GGUAUGACUGGUCUCGCUGAUCCCUCCUUUCUGAAGAACUGUAAUGUCAUUAAUUUGGUGUUGCAGGGAAACAGGACUGUUACUUUGAAAAAAUUAGAGUGUUUAAAGCAGGCUAACGCUUGAAUACAUUAGCAUGGAAUAAUGAAAUAGGACGUUCAAACCUAUUUUGUUGGUUUCUAGGAUUGACGUAAUGAUUAAUAGGGAUAGUUGGGGGCAUUAGUAUUCAAUUGUCAGAGGUGAAAUUCUUGGAUUUAUUGAAGACUAACUACUGCGAAAGCAUUUGCCAAGGAUGUUUUCAUUAAUCAAGAACGAAAGUUAGGGGAUCGAAGACGAUCAGAUACCGUCGUAGUCUUAACCAUAAACUAUGCCGACUAGGGAUCAGAUGAUGUUAAUUUUUUAAUCACCCAUUCGGCGCCUUACG
rnacentral:rRNA from 1 species